rnacentral:rRNA from 1 species
AGCGAACGUUAACGGCGCGCCUAACACAUGCAAGUCGCACGAGAAAGGGAGCAAUCCCCGGUACAGUGGCGCACGGGUGAGUAACACGUAGAUGACCUUCCCUGGAGUGGUGGAUAACCUGCCGAAAGGCGGGCUAAUACAGCAUGGGACCACAUGGUUUUGACCGAGUGGUGAAAGCGGGCCUCUGUUCACAAGCUCGCGCUCUGGGAUGGGUCUGCGUCCCAUCAGCUAGUUGGUGAGGUAAUGGCUCACCAAGGCAUCGACGGGUAGCUGGUCUGAGAGGAUGACCAGCCACACUGGAACUGAGACACGGUCCAGACUCCUACGGGAGGCAGCAGUGGGGAAUCUUGCGCAAUGGGCGAAAGCCUGACGCAGCGACGCCGCGUGGGUGAUGAAGGCCUUCGGGUUGUAAGACCCUGUGGGAGGAACGGAACCGUAC